rnacentral:rRNA from 1 species
GACGUAGGGCGCGAGCGUUGUCCGGAUUUAUUGGGCGUAAAGGGCUCGUAGGCGGUCUGUUGCGUCAGGAGUGAAAACUCGGGGCUUAACCCCGAGCCUGCUUCUGAUACGGGCAGACUAGAGGUAUGCAGGGGAGAACGGAAUUCCUGGUGUAGCGGUGAAAUGCGCAGAUAUCAGGAAGAACACCCGUGGCGAAGGCGGCUCUCUGGGACGGUACUGACGCUGAGACGCGAAAGCGUGGGGAGCGAACAGG